ACGAACGCUGGCGGCGUGCUUAACACAUGCAAGUCGAACGGAAAGGCCCUGCUUUUGUGGGGUGCUCGAGUGGCGAACGGGUGAGUAACACGUGAGUAACCUGCCCUUGACUUUGGGAUAACUUCAGGAAACUGGGGCUAAUACCGGAUAGGAGCUCCUGCUGCAUGGUGGGGGUUGGAAAGUUUCGGCGGUUGGGGAUGGACUCGCGGCUUAUCAGCUUGUUGGUGGGGUAGUGGCUUACCAAGGCUUUGACGGGUAGCCGGCCUGAGCGGGUGGCCGGCCACAUUAGGACUGAGAUACGGCCCAGACUCCUACGGGAGGCAACAGUGGGGAAUAUUGCGCAAUGGGCGGAAGCCUGAUGCAGCAACGCCGCGUGCGGGAUGACGGCCUUCGGGUUGUAAACCGCUUUCGCCUGUGACGAAGCGUGAGUGACGGUAAUGGGUAAAGAAGCACCGGCUAACUACGUG
rnacentral:rRNA from 1 species